ensembl:misc_RNA 7SK 7SK RNA
GGAUGUGAGGGUGAUCUGCAUGAGACAUCUGUCAUGCACUGAUCCCAGGGUUGCUAUCUGGCUGGCUAGGCAGGUGUCCCAUUCCUCCCUCACCACUACAUGUGAUUCCCUCCUGAAGCUGCAUGCUCAGUCGAAGAGGAUGACCAUCCCUGAUAGAGAAGGACUUUGGUCAAGGGUAUAUGAGUAACUGCGCUCCCUGCUUGAACCUCCAAACAAGCUCUCAAAAUAAAACAUAUUAUAAUAAAAUGUAUGUGCAACUCUUUGACAAUAAAUUUGAAAACCUAUAGUAAAGGAUUCUCUUAUAAAUG